AAUUCUUCCAUGUCAAAUGUGUACUAAUAGUCUCUCUCUUGGACCAAAUUACUAACCUAACAGACCAUGAAGGAUCUUUGGAAGCUACUGUGAACUGUCAUGCUUACCAAUACACAGAGAGGAUUUACCAGCACAGUAGACCUUAGCAACAGUUUUGCUCUCAAUGGGAGUUUACAUUUAAAUAUACCUGACUUUGCAUAGACCUAGUUCUGCAGCCCUGACUCAUCUUGGAUAAUAUUUACUCAUGCAACAACAGCAUUCUCACACAUUCUGUGUAUUUCUUGUCCACUGGAUGACAUUCCAUGGUUAUUUCAGCUCACCAUGUGCACGAUACUCUGAUGCAUUGUCACCAAACAAAUGGACCUAAAGGGCAGGAAAUUAAUGGAAAUCUCCAGGAGAUCAUGGAUUUCAUUCAUCACGAUUGGAUUACUGUAAUAGGCUCUACAUGGGGCCGCAUCUUAAAACUACUCAAACUUCAUCUGGUGCAGAACCCAGCUGCCCACUUGGUAAGUGGUGUUUCUUGCAAAAAAGCUCUGGCGCUACUACAUUUCUAAAUGUAACUUACA
rnacentral:lncRNA from 1 species